UACGUAGGGGGCAAGCGUUGUCCGGAUUUACUGGGCGUAAAGAGCGUGUAGGCGGCCAAGCAGGUCCGUUGUGAAAACUGGAGGCUUAACCUCCAGACGUCGACGGAAACCGCGUGGUUAGAGUCCGGAAGAGGAGAGUGGAAUUCCUGGUGUAGCGGUGAAAUGCGCAGAUAUCAGGAAGAACACCAAUGGCGAAGGCAGCUCUCUGGGACGGUACUGACGCUGAGACGCGAAAGCGUGGGGAGCGAACAGG
rnacentral:rRNA from 1 species